GACGAACGCUGGCGGCGUGCUUAACACAUGCAAGUCGAACGGAAAGGCCCUGCUUUUGUGGGGUGCUCGAAUGGCGAACGGGUGAGUAACACGUGAGAAACCUGCCCUUGACUUUGGGAAAACUUCAGGAAACUGGGGCUAAUACCGGAUAGGAGCUCCUGCUGCAUGGGGGGGGUUGGAAAGUUUCGGCGGUUGGGGAUGGACUCGCGGCUUUUCAGCUUGUUGGUGGGGUAGUGGCUUACCAAGGCUUUGACGGGUAGCCGGCCUGAGAGGGUGACCGGCCACAUUGGGACUGGGAUACGGCCCAGACUCCUACGGGAGGCAGCAGUGGGGAAUAUUGCACAAUGGGCGGAAGCCUGAUGCAGCAACGCCGCGUGCGGGAUGACGGCCUUCGGGUUGUAAACCGCUUUCGCCUGUGACGAAGCGUGAGUGACGGUAAUGGGUAAAGAAGCACCGGCUAACUACGUG
rnacentral:rRNA from 1 species